ensembl:lncRNA
UUAACUCAAAUACAGUAUGUAGCACUUUCCCCAUGUACAUGUCUUUCUUUUUCAGCUUUGCCAGUGAAAAGAGGGUAAACGCAUCCAAAGUGAGUCCACACCAAGCUGAGCUGAAAGCUGCACAACUGUUCACUCCAUGAUAUUCCGUGUUAUCGGAAGCAGAUGAGAUGAGCUACACCGGUCUGGAGGUUUCCACCUUGACAUGGGUCAGCCUACCCAAGUAAGGACUGGGUGGAAGGAAGAGAAGCAUCCCAGACAGGAUUUGACACAGAAUCUCCAAUUGGCAAGAUCGGCUCCACAUAAUGAAAACCGGAGGCAACCUAACGUAUCUACUGCCAAAGAUCUCAGAAACGGAGUGGAGAGGGUCCCACAGGACUGCCUACAAGAGAGGGGGAGCCAAGCCUCAAGCAGCUGUGUUCUUCCCGCCGUAAGUUUGGGGACGCUAUCAGCAUCUGAUGAAGAAGUUCAGGUGACUCCAGCUUUCUGCACAGAGCAGUAAUAUGUCAGCCAUUACAAACAACAAGCCACAGUGGCUGCAUCUCUUCACCUCCUGCAGGUGCCUGAGAGUAAAAGGCCCCGCAGGCAGAGCAAAGGACGAUGCCUCCAGAGUGGAAAUGUUAAAUGCAGCGCAGGCGGCCUCUUUUAAACUCAGAAUCACACUCUUGCAUGCGUGGCCACUCUCGGCUGCUAAAUGUUAAACUAAUUGUGAUCCAUUCCUGCCUGGAAGGAUUUAGAAACCAUUAGAAACAAGUGUUGAAACUUGAAAUGGGAUUAUUUGUCCUGUAUUGCACAGCAAUUUAGCAGCCAGUCAAUAGACAAUGUGCUUAAUCUAACUGAUUUUCAAGACUCAUCGUCCAGUGGGGGACGGCUGAACGAGACAGAGAGACAGCACAGUCCGCCGGGACUCUGUGAACUGGUGACACAACAUUUCAACUUAACAAUGAAGCUGCUUUCAGACAUGCACUGAAAUCUGGACAUUUUUGGAACUUUUCUGGAGGGGCUGCCUGUGAGAGCGCAAAUGUCCGCUAAUGUUGCUGCAGACAUUUUUUCGGAGCUUUUCCUGCCAGAGUCCAUGUGAGAAUACAGCAGGACAACUCAGGAAGAUUCUACCCCGGCGGGACCCCUCGUCUGAAUGUUCAGGAAAUGUUCCUGCUGUUGCAAACGCGUCAGACUCAGACAAUCCCCUGCUGCAUUUGUCCUAUGUGAAUGGCAAAUUACAGAAAGCACCCAAUUUCCUGGACAUUUCCCGGAGUUCAUGUCUUAAAUCAGCUUAACAGAGACAGUGGUAUGAGGUCAAAUAAAGAAGUACUGUUUUGCUAAUUUGUAAAUGUUUUCAAUUCAGCUCCUUUAAGAUCUCUGGGUUUCAGAGAAGAUGUCUAGUUUCUACCACACUGUAUUAUCUGAAAGACUAGAAUAUUGAUUCAAGGCCAUUUUACACAAAGCAUCCCAUUAUACAAAGUUCCUCACUGGCUUUUACAAAUUAACUGCGAAUAUAAAAAUAUGAUUUUUACCAAUCAGCUGCCUGCAAUACAACUUUGUAGACUCGUAUCAUGAACUGAACUGUAUCCAGGCCUCUGCUGGGACAUGUUGGCUGGGAUGCUGAGAACCUCACAUCAUGUAUGAAGUCCGUUUUUGUGGGGUGUUUCAUCCAACUAUGUAUAACAUCAGACAAAAGCAUCAUUUUUUUCUUACACAAACAGCAAAAAAAAAAAAGGUUCUGUCAGACUGCUUUAUGAUGUCUGACAUCCAGACCAAAAUCCCUCCAGUCCUGUCUCCCAGCUUUUAUUGGACCAGAGUGGUCACAUGGGAGGGACUUCCAGAACAUCACUGGAUACAGAAGUGAAAAUGUAAAGGACGACAGGACGUGCAGUUGUGUGGGUUUUCAUGUGACAGUGGGAGUGAGGUAGUUGUCAGCCUAUAAAGAUGGGAACUCAUCGUCCAGCUGCUCACAUCUCUGUAGACCACAUCUGUCGCGUUCAGCUUAAAAUGUGUGUGUUUGAUCAGAACUCUGUUUAAAAAAAUAAAUCCUAAAAAUACAUAGUAUUUUACCAUAUCAAAAGAUAUGUAAACCAGGAAACACUGUAUUAAUCAUUCGGCACCUCAUUGUCAACUGAGUACGAUGAAAUAGUGUCACCUGUGACAAUCAUUAUGAAU